CAAUAGCGUAUAUUAAAGUUGUUGCGGUUAAAAGCUCGUAGUUGGAUUUCUGCCGAGGACGACCGGUCCGCCCUCUGGGUGAGCAUCUGGAUCGGCCUGGGCAUCCUCUUGGGGAACGUAGCUGCACUUGACUGUGUGGUGCGGUAUCCAGGACUUUUACUUUGAGGAAAUUAGAGUGUUUCAAGCAGGCUUCCGCCUUGAAUACAUUAGCAUGGAAUAAUAGCAUCGGACCUCGACCUAAAAGCUGUUGGUUUCUUGGGUCGAGGUAAAGAUGAAUAGGGAUUGUUGGGGGCAUUCGUAUUUAACUGUCAGAGGUGAAAUUCUUGGAUUUGUUGAAGACGGACUACUGCGAAAGCAUCUGCCAAAGAUGCUCUCAUUGAUCAAGAACGAAAGUUAGGGAUCGAAGAUGAUUAGAUACCGU
rnacentral:rRNA from 1 species